UAGGGAAUCUUCGGCAAUGGACGAAAGUCUGACCGAGCAACGCCGCGUGAGUGAAGAAGGUUCUCGGAUCGUAAAACUCUGUUGCUAGAGAAGAACAAGGACGUUAGUAAUUGAACGUCCCCUGACGGUAUCUAACCAGAAAGCCACGGCUAACUACGUGCCAGCAGCCGCGGUAAUGCGUAGGUGGCAAGCGUUGUCCGGAUUUAUUGGGCGUAAAGCGAGCGCAUGCGGUUUCUUAAGUCUGAUGUGAAAGCCCCCGGCUCAACCGGGGAGGGUCAUUGGAAAAUGGGGGACGUGAGUGCAGAAGAGGAGAGUGGAAGUCCAUGUGUGGCGGUGGAAUGCGUAGAAAUAUGGAGGAACACCAGUGGCGAAGGCGGUUCUCUGGACUGUAACUGACGCUGAGGAUCGAAGGAGUGGGGAGCAAACAGG
rnacentral:rRNA from 1 species